rnacentral:rRNA from 1 species
GUCCACGCCGUAAACGAUGGGUACUAGAUGUGGGAGGUGUCGACUCCUUCCGUAUCGUAGCUAACGCACUAAGUACCCCGCCUGGGGAGUACGGCCGCAAGGCUAAAACUCAAAGGAAUUGACGGGGGCCCGCACAAGCAGCGGAGCAUGUGGUUUAAUUCGACGCAACGCGAAGAACCUUACCUGGGCUUGACAUGUAUCUGACCGCCAUAGAGAUAUGGCUUCCCUUCGGGGCAGAUUCACAGGUGGUGCAUGGCUGUCGU